rnacentral:lncRNA from 1 species
CCCUUUUGUCCAUUCUUUGAUUGUUUAUAGAACUUUUUUAUGUGUGUUUUCUUGUGCUAGGGGAUUCCAACCUUGAUGUCACUUUGAGGAACCAUUACCAUGAGCAUCCAAAGUGAGAGAUACAAAAGCCAUUGGAGGAUUCUUGGAAGCAUGACCUUGUGUUUGAUUGCUUGAAAUAUUUGCUUUGUGGUUGCUUUAUUCCAAAGGAUGGGAGCUACUUGGAUCAUCAAUAUGAUCUCAAGAGAGGAACUCCUAUUGUGGUUUUGUUCCCUUUAUACCUUCU